rnacentral:rRNA from 1 species
UACGGAGGGAGCUAGCGUUGUUCGGAAUUACUGGGCGUAAAGCGCACGUAGGCGGCUUUGUAAGUUAGAGGUGAAAGCCCGGGGCUCAACUCCGGAACUGCCUUUAAGACUGCAUCGCUUGAAUCCAGGAGAGGUGAGUGGAAUUCCGAGUGUAGAGGUGAAAUUCGUAGAUAUUGGGAAGAACACCGGUGGCGAAGGCGGCGCUCUGGACCGAGACUGACGCGUGAGGCGGCGAAAAGCGUGGGGAGCAAACAGG